CAAUAGCGUAUAUUAAAGUUGUUGCAGUUAAAAAGCUCGUAGUUGGAUUUCUGGAGGGAGCGUCGGCCCGUAUUUACGAGUGCGUGACGUCUCUGUCCAUCCUUGCGGGAAGGCACGGCAUUGAUUUGUUGUGUCGGAUCGCAUCAUUUACUGUGAAAAAAUUAGAGUGUUCAAAGCAGGCUUUCGCUUGAAUACAUUAGCAUGGAAUAAUAAGAUAGGACUUUGGUGCUGUUUUGUUGGUUGAGCCUAAAGUAAUGAUUAAUAGGGAUAGUUGGGGGCACCUGUAUUGCGUUGUCAGAGGUGGAAUUCUUGGAUUUACGCAAGACAAACAGCUGCGAAAGCGUCUGCCAAGGAUGUUUUCAUUAA
rnacentral:rRNA from 1 species